GGGUGGGCAGGGGGCUGUCUGAGGCGCCCCUUUGUGGGGCUCCUGGGGGGCUCCACCCCUGCAGACCCCACAGGGGCACCCUGUACCGCCACUUGCACACCCACAGGGGCUGCGUGUGCACUAACGAGACACGAGGGGAACGUGAGGGGAAGGGGGGCAUGGCUCUGAGGGGCGCGGCCCCUUUAAGGAGCGGGGCAGCGCCUCCAGGAGGCGCGCGGAAGCGGGAGCGAGCCGGGCGGGGGGCGCGCAGGGGAGGGGGCGUGGCCAAGGCGGGGAGGGGGCGUGGCUUAACCCCGCUUUGGCCACGCCCCCUCCCCGCCUGGCCCCGUCCCGCGUGGGGAGGGGGGGAGGAGGAGGAGGAGAAGGGGGAGGAAGGGGAGGAGGAGGAGGAGGAGGCGCGGACACCGGAGGCAGCGGCUGCCCCCGAGCCGUGGGCUGCGAGACUUCUUGUCCUGAGUGUUAGCUACAGUGAGCACCUGUGAGCCAACAGCUCUUUCCACGUGCUGUCUGAGAGUGUGAUACAGAACCUGGGCUGAUCUAAUCGUGCUUCUCAGGUAGAGAGCUUGCCAGAGACAAGUGUUUAUGUUUGAGAUGUUUUUUAAUGGAGGUUUGUAAAAGUUUAGUUAGGAAACAAUUCUGUACAUCCAGAAUAUUUAGAUGUUAAAUUAAGCUGGUGCUCAAAGUACCUAAAUACAGUUUUGUUACAAAGUACUUCAUGUAAACACAGCACGAGCCUCACAUUCCUUAAAAGAAUUUAAGUUUUGUAGCUUCUUUUACCAGUGCUGCAGUUUUCUUAAACAAUCGAGAAUAAUCCUGCUGGCACCAUCUGACUGAAGUGUGUUUUAUUUCACGGAAACGUCCUUCAGAGUGUUGGGAAAAUAACUCAAUAAUGUUUCCUAAGGCUCUGAAGAGACUUCUGAUGUUUUGAGUCUUUAUUACACUAGAGGUCAGUGUAUGACGGCAGCUUGUGAGAUGGUGUAGAGUUUCUUGCAGAAUCCUGUUUCAUCAAAUUUGAAACCAGAUUUGACAAGAAACUGUAGCCUACAACUAUGGAAAAAACUUCACAUUAACAUGUCUUAUGACUUUCUUGGCGAAAGGGCUUUUUUGGGCUUCCUGCUUUUAUUUCUCCUUGCUCAAGAAGUAUUUGGCAUGUAUCGAUAAUAGUGCUUUAAUGUGGUAAGGAUAAAUGUGCACGCUUGAUUGUUCCAACAUGCACCUCAAACAUUUAUGCUGCUUUGUAGUAACGUGACUUUUUGGUUCGGAUAAUAUAUUUCCAUAAGCUGUGUUAGUUUUAGGAGUCAUCUGUCACUCUUGCACUGUGUAAACCUACUCCUGGUGUGGUGAGAGAGUUGUAUCUGUACCUAUUAUGCUUUGGGUAGCUCUCAGCUGGAUAAAUGGGUAACUUUGGGGUGAGUGGUUUCACUUUUGGGUGUUGAGGGAAGCAGUCAUGCAUGUUUCUACCACAAGACUUGCAGAGAUUGGCUCCUCAGCAUGUCUUCCUCAGCAAUGCAGAAAAGGGAUUCCUUUCAACAUCUGGAAUGUGCAACAGCAGACUUUCUGAAAACAUCAUAGGCCAGGGGGACUAAGCCAGAUGGUCAAGUACAACAGUGUCAAGUAAGGUCAGAUGGAAGAGAAAUCAGCUGAAGGAGAGUCCUGGUUGGAGCAGAUCCCCGUGUGUGCAUAAAUGAUAAUUUAAGUGAGAGGACGGAAUGGAAGAAAUAACACUAGGGUGGAUUUGAGCUCCCGAGUGUCUUUUCUAAGAGAAUUGGGUACAAACAGAAGCCUCUGUGUCCUGUUCUUGCAUCGGGUUCUUCCUGAAUGACUGGAGAACAAGAAAAAAGGGGCAAGGACCAAUGUAGGGGGUGAGUGCAGACAGCUGAAUUUUGCUGUUUUUAAGAGAUUUUUCUGUGUGGGAGACCCAGACCCAUGAACAUCUUUGUGAUCUUUCUUUUUGGUGGGGCAGGGAUAUAGAGGGGAUGCUGUAAAAGCAUAACCAUCAGUCUGAAAAUCUCCUUUGCACUUGGCUGCUGCCUGGUAUGUUUUGUUGUGUGCUUCUGAAGCACGAAGCAGGAUGGCACCUCAGCUCAGACAGUGUGGAGGAGGUGUGAGGCUCUGCUAAAACUGGGCUCCCUCUGAGGAUUCCUCGCUUUACAGGAAACUUGCUGACUCCCCGCCUCUUCCCCGGGUAUUUCCAGUCUGGGUUUUCCUACUCCCUGUGAGAAACGAAUCUGUACGAAAGCUUUGCGGAAUGGUGACUUAUCAAAACAACUUUAAGAAGUUUUAUGUGCUCAAACUUAAUUGGAUUGUGUUUGAAGAGCCUGAGAAGAGGAAGGCUUUGCAGAACAAUGUGAUACAAGUCGAUAAAUAAAACACCCUACAAAAUUCUUUCCUUUUCCUGU
rnacentral:lncRNA from 1 species